AGCUCCUGUCUCAUGAUGAACCCAUUGCCCUGACCUCUUGUGAUGCUGGCGUCAAAGUAAACGCUCUGAAGCGAAGGAGCAGGGC
ensembl:snoRNA Gm24067 small nucleolar RNA SNORD105